GGUAUUGUGGCUCAUCGGUAGAGCGCUCAUCUAGCACAUGCAAGGCCCUGGGUUCAAUCCUCAGCACCA
rnacentral:tRNA from 1 species